rnacentral:rRNA from 1 species
CCGGACGGUGAGAACAGUAUCCAACCUGCCGUCUACUCUUGGACAGCCUUCUGAAAGGAAGAUUAAUACAAGAUGGCAUCAUGAGUCCGCAUGUUCACAUGAUUAAAGGUAUUCCGGUAGACGAUGGGGAUGCGUUCCAUUAGAUAGUAGGCGGGGUAACGGCCCACCUAGUCUUCGAUGGAUAGGGGUUCUGAGAGGAAGGUCCCCCACAUUGGAACUGAGACACGGUCCAA